CUUCACUGGCGUCUCACAGUGUGCCUCCAACAAGAACACACCAAAUGACAACACGAUCCAUGAAUAAUAUACAUCGCCCCAAGAAACUUUACCUUGUUACUAAUUACCUCUGUUGAGCCCACAUGUGUGUCUCAAGCCAUUAAAGAUCCUAAUUGGAGACAAGCCAUGUCUGAUGAAUUUACUGCACUUGUUCGACAUGGCACUUGGACUCUUGUUCCUCCUAAUCCAUCUCAGAGGCUUGUGGGAAACAAAUGGAUAUUUAGAAUCAAACGUAAUCCUGAUUGCAGUAUCACAAGAUAUGCGAGAGGAUUUGUGAUGUAAUCACACUUCCUAGCAACUCCACUAUCGUGAACUUGCAGUGAACAUGGGGAAGGCCCCAUGAUUUUGCUUACAGCAGAAGGGAUGGCUUGUUUUUGUUGUGCGGUCAAGGAUUUCUGUUCGAUGAGCAGAGUGAUGGAUUGGUGUAUUUUAAGUGGUCAAGGAACUUCCUGUGAAAUCUUUGGUUACUUCGUGAAGAGGAGAUGUGGAGAGAAAUGUCUUAUCUGCAGCAAUGUUUGUCCUCUUUCCAAUUUUAGCAGAUGGUUUUUCUGGUCUGUGGUUGCCGGGAGCUUAGAACAGCUACCGAUGUAAACAUGAUGGAUGAAAUCUCUCCAUGCCCUUCCAUUUUUUUGUCUCUUUUCAUCAUGCAAUACAUGUUCCACCUCCCGUUACA